rnacentral:lncRNA from 1 species
GAAAUGAUACUGUCAAACAUUUACUUGCUGAGUAGGUCAAGGUUAAAUCAUUAAAUAUUACAAAGAAAUACAGAUGUGAUCAAAUGGGUUUUUUUUUUAAUUAAUUUGUUUUUCUUGGGUAAUUAUUGCUAAAAAUAGUUUGGAAGUUGCAUCAGAGUUAAGAAAAGUGACUGUAUUAACACAGUACUAGAUCUGUACUAAAUUUUUAGUGUUUAUAGGUGGAGGUUUUUAUUAACUUAGGGGGAGAGAGAUGAGGGACAGGAGUGUGCAUGUGACGCUCACUAAGUGUCAGUCUACUUUACAGGUUGUUUUGCAAAAACCCUUGUAGAGUGCGUUGGUAUGAAGAACCUCAAGUCCUGGGCCAGCAUCAACCGAGGAGCCAUCGUUCUUUCCAGCCUUCUUCAGAGUUGUGACCAGGACGUUGUAAACAAAGUCAAAGCUGGACUGAAAACCCUGAUUCCUACCUUGGAAAAAACCAAAAGCACCAGCAAAGGCAUCCAGACUCUGCUUGAGAAGUUGACUGCAUAGGCGCGCCAGAUGAGCAAGCUGGAACCCGCUUCCCGAGGGGAAGGGUGGAAUCUGUCACACUCAUAACUGGAUGCCCUAUGCAUGUACUUGUUAAAGGACCUAUUUAUAUAUAAAAUUGUAAAAGAG